rnacentral:rRNA from 1 species
GACGAACGCUGGCGGCGUGCUUAACACAUGCAAGUCGAACGGUGAAGCGCCUUCCUUUUUGGUGGGUGUGGAUGAGUGGCGAACGGGUGAGUAACACGUGAGUAACCUGCCCCCUUCUUCUGGAUAACCGCAUGAAAGUGUGGCUAAUACGGGAUAUUCUGGGUCUGUCGCAUGAUGGGUCUGGGAAAGAUAUUGUUUCGGUGGGGGAUGGGCUCGCGGCCUACCAGCUUGUUGGUGGGGUGAUGGCCUACCAAGGCGGUGACGGGUAGCCGGCCUGAGAGGGUGGACGGUCACACUGGGACUGAGACACGGCCCAGACUCCUACGGGAGGCAGCAGUGGGGAAUAGUGCACAAUGGGCGCAAGCCUGAUGCAGCGACGCCGCGUGAGGGAUGGAGGCCUUCGGGUUGUGAACCUCUUUCGCCAGUGAAGCAGGCCUGCCUCGUUUGUGGGUGGGUUGACGGUAGCUGGAUAAGAAGCGCCGGCUAACUACGUG